rnacentral:rRNA from 1 species
AUUGAACGCUGGCGGCAGGCCUAACACAUGCAAGUCGAACGAGUGGCGGACGGGUGAGAAAUGUCUGGGAAACUGCCGGAUGGCGGGGGAUAACUACUGGAAACGGUAGCUAAUACCGCAUACCAGUAGAUGUGCCCAGAUGGGAUUAGCUGGUUGGUGGGGUAAAGGCUCACCAAGGACACGAUCCCGAGCUGGUCUGAGAGGAUGAUCAGCCACACUGGAACUGAGACACGGUCAAGAUCCCUCGGGGAGGCAGCAGUGGGGAAUAUUGCACAAUGGGCGCAAGCCUGAUGGAGCCAUGCCGCGUGUAUGAAGAAGUCCUUCGGGUUGUAAAGUACUUUCAGCGGGGAGGCGUUACCCGAAGAAAAAGCACCGGCUAACUCCGUGCCAGCAGCCGCGGUAAUUC